GAGCUGGACCUUUGGCGGCUAGAUGCACCGUUCCCUCCCACUACCGUUGAGGAAUAUCCCAGCUCCCACAACGACAGACACCCCUGAGCCAAAUACCUAUGCUGGUUCCUGCUCAUUGCAGCAGUGAGAGCACAUCUAAGAUGGCUGACUCAAUGGGUACGCUAGCAGGCACUACGGAACAACGUCCACGGGCUCAUCUUAACCCAGUGGACCGAUUCUUGCUGCGACUUGAUGAAGC